AUGUCCUGGGAGAGGGUGUGCACGCCCAAGUGGGCCGGUGGUCUUGGUAUCUUAGACAUGAGGUUGAUGAAUGUGGUCCUCCAGACCAAGUGGCUUUGGUUGCAACGGGCUGACCAGAAUAGGCCUUGGUCUGAGUUCUCCUUCUAUGUACCGAAGGAAUCGAGGGAAUUAUUUCAGGUGGCCGCCCGAGUGGUCGUGGGUGAUGGGCAAGGCACACUAUUCUGGGAAGAUAUAUGGCUUAAUGGAUACCGGUUGGAGGAGCUCGCGCCACGGGCCUAUGAGUGUGUUCCGGCAUGCACGCGGAGGUCGAGGACGGUAUUUCAGGCCAUCACCGAGGGAAGAUGGCCCAGCGAUGUCGGGCCGGUGCUGAAUGCGGAGUAA
rnacentral:rRNA from 1 species